rnacentral:lncRNA from 1 species
UUUUUUUUUUUUUUUUUUUUUGCUCUUAAGUUUUUUUCUCUCGCUCUCUUUUUUAAAGGUAGUGUAUGGCGCCAUGAACCUAAGUCUUUCAUUGUUAACGAAGUUCCUAGAAGGAAUUUCCGUGUGCCCUCUUUUGUGUUCCUAGUUAAAUAAAGUUAACAGUAAAUGCCCCUUCAUCAUUGCUGUACUGACCACACAACCAUGCUCUCCUCGGCCGAGGACCCAGCACUUCAGCCCGGUCCUGUUGUGAGAAGCCCAGUGACUUGCCAGAGCAGGGCCACACAGGCAUGGGGCUGCUACAACAGGCUCUGCCAGUCACUUGAGGGCUUCUGUUGGUAGCUUUUGGUGCUUGCCUGUUUUCUUACUUUUCACAUCUCUCCCUUGGCUAGACUAAGAUUGUUUUAUUUAUGAAUAUGUAUGUUUCCGAAGAGGAACCCUUACACUUAAAUGAACCUGUAAGGAGCCCAUAGAAAAGCCAGUGCCCGCAGUGCUGAUAAUGAGAAGUGACAAGGCAGCCCUGCUGGGUUUAUUUAUGACCUUCUGCCUUUGUUAGCUCUUGUGAGAAAUUUCUUUCUAACCAUAACAAUAUUGCCGGAGAUUGGCACUGUACAGAGAAAUCCUACCGAGCCCCGAGGCCCACAAACUGGCAGCCUUUCAGCUCAUAACCGAUUGCCAUGCUGCCCGUGGACUGGCGGUCCCCUCGGCUCCUCUUUUCUUCAGUUCUUACCUAGUUCUCCUCAGUCUUUCCAUGCUUGGUUUUUAAAAAGAACCCCUUUUUCUCAGAGGCAUAUGGAGUGCUACUUUGCACUGUGGAAGAAAUCUGAAGAGGGCAGACCUUAGGAGGACAGGGAGGGGCAAGUCUAGUCUGCGAUAGAUGGGAGAAAGUCACAGAGCACCCUACUGCUCCUGGAGCCGCAGAGUGGUGGACAAGCUGUCCUUGGGUAAACAGUGCACUGGUUAUUAGAUUAACUCCAUGCCAGCCCUUAAAGAUGGUUUAUCUCCGCUUGUUUUGGUCUUCCACUUUCAAACAAGCCUGGGAUUUUAAAAGCGUUCACAAAGAAUUGCCUUUAUAGUUGUGAUUCUCUUUGGUUGUAAACAAGAAUGUGUAACAUUAAACACAGAACUCUGCAGAUGAGCGAGAGGACCAGCUGUCCCUCAUGGUUUUGCUCAGGGUGCAGGGAAGCCAAUGUUGACCACGCCACUCUCUGGUCAGCCUUUGACAUAAAGCUUCCAAAAAUGACAGAAGAACAGGCUAGUGGCUUCUGCUUGAAGUAGAGAUGGACAGAUAUGUGUCUCCACAUUCCAGGGGCCAGCUUUGGAGAAGAUUAUGUGCCAUGUGACCUCACCUUUAGCUGACUUCCACAAGAGCACUAUUGACGUUUAUGGAACGUUCAUAAAGGGGUGUGUGCACAUACAAAUGUCUCUGUGAUUGUAGGUUUGCAUUCGCAUAUAUUUUGUGCUUUCUGAGUUAAACUAUUCUCUAUGUUUAUUUUCUAUGGUUCAUUGAUUUUUUUUUCUCCAGUGAAAUGAUAUUGUUUUUAACAUAAGAUACUCUAAUAAUCCAUGUUUUAAGGAACUUACUAAAUUGAGAUCUAAGUGAUUCCUAGUCCACAUUGUACUGUCCAGUUUUGCUAUUUUCUGUUUUUAAAUUUAUCUCCACACUGUAAUAUGGAGUAAUCAAAAUGAUGGCCAAUACUUAUCAAAUGAAUCUCUGCUAACACACAGUUCUCUUGGUGUCUUUGGAACAGGCCAGUUUUGUAGGUAGAUGAGGAAAGUUAAGUGGUACCCACUGGGAGUGGCACAGCCAAGAUUGGAACCCAGGCAUCCUAACCCAGGCUGACCUCUUCCAAGUGGCACAUCUCUGCUGGGCACUGUAGGCAUUAACAGAUGUGCCAGAGAACCCUGGUUUCCACAUUUCUUCCCAUGCUCUGCUACAGGUGUACAAAGCUGUCUCGUAAACGUUUUGCAGCCACAAAAGGGGGCUGUGCUGGUCCCACCUCGAUGCAGAGCUGUUGGCGUUUGUGCUCAUGCCUGGUCUUCACAUUGUCCUCCUUCGCCUGUGCUCAUCUUACACUCAGCCUUUACGUUCCGUUUCAAUGUCACGAAAGGAUACGUGAAACCAGCACUUGUGUGCCUAAUAUUCUGUAUUUAUAGGUUAGCUAAUCUUUACUAAGACAGAAGUAUUAUUCCUCCCACUGUUUGAAGGGUGAAACUGAGGCUGGUUAGCUUAAGAACCCUUUCCAACAAUAGCUGAGGACAUGUCCGAGCCCUGCUGAGUGCUGUCUGCCCUUGCUGCAGGCUCCUACCUGGAGAGCUCGCUGCCACGCUGUUGUCCCUGAGAAUCCACAUUAGAGAGGACAUGAAAUGAGCCCUUCUCCUGAUGCCAGAUAUCACAGUGUGUGCUGCGCUGUUGGUAGCUGCGGACGUUAACUCUUCCAGUAUCACUGUGAGGUCAUUACAUGUAGGGAUGAGGUCAUCCUGCAUGGUGGCCUGUGAGCCCUCAUCCUGUGCAGGAUGUGUCUGAGCCGUCUCUUUAUCCUUCCAGAGCCCAAGGGUUUUUUCUUUUUUGUUUGUUUUUGUUUUGUUUUGUUUUGUUUUGUUUUAUGACCACCCCCAGGUACCAGAAAAGGUGACUAGUGUUCUAAAGAAAACUGGGCAGAAGCUGGUAUUGAUAGUGAGGCAAGAGAAGGGGAUUCUGGAAAGGCAUCUUUGCUCCUGCCAGGCAUUGAUACUGGUGCCUGGAAUAAAAUCCAAUUCAGCUUGAAAAUAUAUGAUUCACCUGGCUACAGAGAUGCUAGGCAACAAGAGGGUUAGUGGCCCCAUGCCUUUUUAUUGUGUGUGUUUUGCUGUCUCUUGCACACACCUUGGAGAGUCUCUGAAUUCUGUUCCAGUGGGGGGGGGGGGGGCAUGCUCCAAGCAGCUGCUGAGGUGGCUGAGACAUGGAUGUGCAGGGCCAGGAGGAGGUCCAGCACGGAGCAAACUCACCCUGAGGCCUCUUUGAGCGUAUUAUUUUCCUCAUCACGAUCACAGUUAUGAUUGCUAGUACUGAAAGUUUCUAUCUGCAACCUUGACUGGGUUUAUGGUCACCUCCUCUCAAGCGGCUUUCAGAAGUAACACAAAGUGGUCAUAUGCUCUUAGAAAAAGUUAUUAUGCAAAAGUGCACUUGAAUGCUAACACUUGAGACGUUAAGUGACCAGCUGGCCUUAUAGGAAAAUAGAAAACAAGUCGUUUUGGAAAUCUCUCAUCUAAGUGAGCCUGUGAAGCAU